UACGGAGGGUGCAAACGUUGCUCAGAAUCAUUGGGCGUAAAGCGCACGUAGGCGGCUCGUUAAGUCGGAUGUGAAAGCCCGGGGCUUAACCCCGGGUCUGCAUUCGAUACGGGCAGGCUGGAGUUCGGUAGGGGAGAUCGGAAUUCCUGGUGUAGCGGUGAAAUGCGUUGAUAUCAGGAGGAACACCCAUGGCGAAGGCAGCAAGCUGGUCGAUUCCUGACGCUGAGGCGCGAAAGCGUGGGUAGCAAACAGG
rnacentral:rRNA from 1 species